CAGUCGCCACGGGAAUACAGAGGGUGCAAGCGUUAAUCGGAAUUACUGGGCGUAAAGCGCGCGUAGGUGGUUUGUUAAGUUGGAUGUGAAAUCCCCGGGCUCAACCUGGGAACUGCAUCCAAAACUGGCAAGCUAGAGUAGGGCAGAGGGUGGUGGAAUUUCCUGUGUAGCGGUGAAAUGCGUAGAUAUAGGAAGGAACACCAGUGGCGAAGGCGACCACCUGGGCUCAUACUGACACUGAGGUGCGAAAGCGUGGGGAGCAAACAGGAUUAGAUACCCGAGUAGUCCCUGUCUCUUAUAC
rnacentral:rRNA from 1 species